UACCGCUGAAUGAUUUCAAACCAUGGCUGCUCUAUCGUCAGAUCCGCACGAAAUGGAGGAAAGGUUUUCGUUAUUAACAGAAAAUACAAGGGUGAGAGUCAGCUCUGUUUUAAACCGAGAUUGUAGUCAUUAUGGAAAGAAAUACAUGUUUGAUAAAAAUGAGGACACAUGCUGGAAUUCAGAUCAGGGUUCACCUCAAUUCGUUAUCCUGGAAUUUCCUGAAGAAAGUUGUGUGAGGGAAAUUCAUAUUCAGUUUCAAGGUGGAUUUGUUGGGAAGGAAUGUUGUCUUGAAGGUGGACCUUCUUGUAACAGCUUAACUCCAUUCUUUACAUUUUAUCCUGAUGAUGUUGGCUCACUACAGAUUUUUCCAAUCACAAGCUCAAGAAAAUUAAAAGUUUUAAAGAUUGUUUUUAUAAGUAGUAGUGAUCUUUUUGGACGAAUUACAGUCUAUAAGCUAGAUGUGUUGGGUUGCUGAUGCACAUUCUACCAUGCUUCAAGAAAAUAACUAAACAGCAAAAGUGCAAGGCAAUGAGCUGCAAACUGAACUUGUUCGUUUCAUUUAUCAAUAUUACAUUUUAGUCCCUUAAACCACUCGCAAUUAGUCAAUAAAAUAUAAUGGAUUGCAUAUUAAGUUACUAGACAGCAGCACAGCAGCUCUUAAUUUGACUUUCGUUCGUCGGAAUACAUGUUUUUUUGCUUUUAUUUGCUUUGAUAAUAUAUGCUCAAGUAGAAGACGUUGGACUUUUGAAUUUGGAGGCAUCUACCCGCAACAUAAUAAGAACAGCUGGAGUGUUUUUGUGACUACUGCGCUUAUGCAGCAGUCACUAUUGCCAUUGUCUGAGUUUUCCGAAAGUAAGUAAGUAACAAUUGAAUGUACUUCGGAGCCAAUCAGCGCAACAAAUAUCCAUCUCCCGGUUUCUAGCAAACACUUCGUAUCAACGAUGAUUUGCCGAUAGUCAUCGAUGGCUGCCCCCUUCAAUCUCAGCUCUUGGAAGUAUUCUUCGAAAUUGAGGGGCAGAUCUAGGAUUUUUCAAUAAUGCAUGCCCCUGAAAUGUUGCAAUUUGAGAAUUGAGAGAAGUAAAACAACUAUGGAGGGCUUAGUGAAGAUGAAUAGUGGGGCAUAAAAACGAGGCUCAAUGUUUCACAGUAGAGUGCUGCUUUGUACCUCAAGAUUACUCACUGGUGUGACUGUUAUCACUAUUUUAGGUAAUCACAAUGUACCUGUCUAGAGUGUGCGCCUUAACUCACUCACUUACUCAUCCCUGUAGUGCCGGCUGUAGAGUUACCUUUACUUCUUCCAUAAUACAGGUACUCUCAAUCAACCCCAGAACUGUUGCUAUGAUUGGUACCAUUCUCGUUGUGUUGUUUACCAUAAAUCUUGUUUCAUCAGUGUAUUAAAAUAUUAAAAAAUGUUUUUGAUUGUCUCAUCAGGUUUGUUUACUGAUUACUUUUCAUACACCAUACAUCAUACACUGCUGAUAGUUUUACACUUAAUUCUGUCAACUGUUACACUGGCGACACCCACAUAUACUAAAAGGCCAGAUUUGAUUCCAACUUGGAAGCUUGGGGAAAUACAAGAAAAGAAAUCACAUUAAGGUCGAGGAAUGAAUCAUUUAUUUCUUUUGUUUUAUUCCCCUAAGCCU